AACGUAGGGUGCAAGCGUUGUCCGGAAUUACUGGGUGUGAAGGGAGCGCAGGCGGACCGGCAAGUUGGAAGUGAAAUCCAUGGGCUCAACCCGUGAAUUGCUUUCAAAACUGCUGGCCUUGAGUAGUGCAGAGGUAGGUGGAAUUCCCGGUGUAGCGGUGGAAUGCGUAGAUAUCGGGAGGAACACCAGUGGCGAAGGCGACCUACUGGGCACCAACUGACGCUGAGGCUCGAAAGCAUGGGUAGCAAACAGG
rnacentral:rRNA from 1 species